CMMYKKGGAAKGCCGAAGAGAUUUGGCAGUGCUCGCAAGAGAACCGGAACACAGGUGCUGCAUGGCUGUCGUCAGCUCGMGUSGKGAGAUGUUGGGUUAAGUCCCGCAACGAGCGCAACCCUUGUCAUUAGUUGCUACGAAAGGGCACUCUAAUGAGACUGCCGGUGACAAACCGGAGGAAGGUGGGGAUGACGUCAAGUCCUCAUGGCCCUUAUGGGUAGGGCUUCACACGUCAUACAAUGGUCGGGACAGAGGGUCGCCAACCCGCGAGGGGGAGCCAAUCCCAGAAACCCGAUCGUAGUCCGGAUCGCAGUCUGCAACUCGACUGCGUGAAGUCGGAAUCGCUAGUAAUCGCGGAUCAGCAUGUCGCGGUGAAUACGUUCCCGGGUCUUGUACACACCGA
rnacentral:rRNA from 1 species